UAUGUGAUCGUCUCUCGCAUAUCAAUAAGCGGAGGAAAAGAAACUAACAAGGAUUCCCCUAGUAACGGCGAGUGAAGCGGGAAGAACUCAAAUUUGAAUCUUAAAGGGAUUUCCCUUUACGAAUUGUAGUUUAAAGAAGUGUUUUCUGUUGAGGUUUUGGUAAAAGUUCUUUGGAAUAGGACAUCAUAGAGGGUGAGAAUCCCGUAUUUGACCUUUACUUUCAACUUUGUGAUACACUUUCAAAGAGUCGGAUUGUUUGGGAAUGCAGUCCAAAAUGGGUGGUAAAUUUCAUCUAAAGCUAAAUAUUGGCGAGAGACCGAUAGCGAACAAGUACCGUGAGGGAAAGAUGAAAAGAACUUUGAAAAGAGAGUUAAACAGUACGUGAAAUUGUCAAAAGGGAAGCGUUUGACACCAGUGUUGUUUUUCUGAAAAUCAAUUAAAGAACUGUUUAUGCUAAGUUGUUUAGACUUUAUCAGCUAACUGUUUAGUUUUGAGCUUUUCUUUAAUGCACUUUUCAGUUAACAAGUCAACAUCAAUUUCUUUUGCUGUAAAAAAGCUUGAGGAAGGUGGCUUGAGAUUCGUCUUAAGUGUUUAUAGCCUCUUGCCUAUGCAGUCGGAGAGAUUGAGGUCUGCAGCGUAGAUCCUUCGGGGCUAAAUGCAUUUGUGCUAAGUUAUAGCAUUUCAUAGACAACUUGUUGACUAUGAUUUGUCUUGUAGCUUACUCGCUUAUGUUAUUUUACCUACGCUUAGGAUGUUGAUAUGCAUGACUGAUAU
rnacentral:rRNA from 1 species